UACGUAGGGUGCAAGCGUUGUCCGGAAUUAUUGGGCGUAAAGAGCUCGUAGGCGGAUCCGCCAGUUUGACGUGAAAUCUCCACCGCUCACCGGGGAGGGGCCGUUGAAUACUACGGAUCUGGAGUUCGGCAGAGGACCAUGGAAUUUCGGGUGUAGCGGUGGAAUGCGUAGAUAUCCGAAAGAACACCGGUGGCGAAGGCGGUGGUCUGGGCCUGAACUGACGCUGAGGAGCGAAAGCCAGGGGAGCAAACGGG
rnacentral:rRNA from 1 species